CAGCCUCGGUGCAGAUCCAGGUGGAGCCGGUGGGCCGCUGGUUCGAGGCGUACAUCAAGAGGAGGAACAGGACCGCUUCAGCCUCUUUCCAGGAGCUGGAGGAGGAGCAGCAGUCCUCAGAGGAGUCGGAGGACGAGGAGUUCGUGCUGCAGGAAUACCCCAUGCUGCGGACCCUCGACCCCAAAGACUGGAAGAAUCAAGAUCACUAUUGUGUCCUCGGGCUUCCACACUUGAGGUACAAAGCCACGCAGAAACAGAUCAAAACCGCCCACAAAGGGAUUGUGUUGAAGCACCAUCCGGACAAGAGGAAAGCUGCAGGAGAGCAGAUUGGAGAGGGAGACAACGACUACUUCACCUGUAUAACUAA